AGGGAGCCUGGGAGCGGCGGCUGAGCCCAGAUCCACGCCUGCACGCUUCAGCAGCAAGGACUCCAGAUCGCCACCCAACUAGCUCACCGCCUCCACCAGAACUUCUACUUGUAAGCGCCCACCACUGGAGGCAAAAAGCACUUUCUUCUCGGGACUCGGGGGGCGGGGGGGAGGAUCUCGUACACAGAAAACCCCCCAAACCCCCGAGACCUACCACUUUGGACCCGAACAAAAAGCGUGUGUGCUGAGGAGCGGGGGUGGGAAAGAGCGAAGCAGGAAUCCGCGCGGCCCAGCCGCCUCCUCCCUCGGAGCGCGCCCAAGUCUGCGGCCUCCGGCUCCGGGACGCUCCCCUCCCACCGGCCGCCCAGCCGCAGCUGGAAGUUAGCGAAGCGCGCUCUGGGCCCGUCAAUCAAGCGCGGCCUCCCGCCUCCACCUCCCCUCCCCCCACCCCCCCAGCACAAAAUAAAAUAAAGGGAAAAGAAGUAA
rnacentral:lncRNA from 1 species